rnacentral:rRNA from 1 species
UACGAAGGGGGCUAGCGUUGCUCGGAAUUACUGGGCGUAAAGCGCACGUAGGCGGUCUUUUAAGUCGGGGGUGAAAUCCUGGAGCUCAACUCCAGAACUGCCUUCGAUACUGGAAGACUCGAGUCCGGGAGAGGUGAGUGGAACUGCGAGUGUAGAGGUGAAAUUCGUAGAUAUUCGCAAGAACACCAGUGGCGAAGGCGGACUCGCUGGCCC